ACACCGAUGGUGAAGUGGUUAUCAUGCUUGCCUUCCAUUCAUAUUCUAUUCAUGUUCCAUUCGUGGUUCAGCAAGCGGCAGGGGUUCGAUUCCCCUUCGGUGUA